UGUACAGAAAUGCCAAGUGGGUCGAAUCGGGUAAGAGAACACCAGCAUCACAGAUGACGGGGAGCAGCCAUUCCAGAGAGCCAUGUGUCCCAUACAGGACAAACGAAAGAAGCACCGUUCUCUCCAGGAGGCAAUCCUUGGAAGUGCCUGGUCAGAGGAGGGGAGGAGCUGGCCUGGUUUCCCUUUGGAUGAGAUGCCAUCUUUCAGACUGUGCCACAGACAACUCCCUGAAAACGGCGCACUCUCCACAGUGUGGAGCUCAGCGGGCCACAUUCUCUCCUGAACUCAGUUAAUUUGCUGUUGGUUUUUGUUUUAAUUUAGGUCAUCCAGUCUCGCUUACCUUUUAAUGAGAAACAAAGCAUCCUGAGUAAUAACGGAGACGCAGAGUUGAACCCAGUCCUGCUCGCAUUCCUCCAUGCUAAUGAUGCACCUGUGGGUGGUGCGUCUAAGCAGGAAGUAGUGACUGACUAAACGUCUCCGAAUGCAACCAGAUUAAUAAAAACCAGGGUGCUCUGAGGAGACGGGGAAUUCUCCUUUUAAAGACUCUUAUGAUAAAACUGCAUAUAAAUAAAACAGGUAACCUCAUAUUUGAUAUUACAGAUAAACUCAUAUGGCCCUGCUGUGCCAGGCUGGAGGAAGACAUGUGGCCACAAUGCCUCUGCUGCUUCUCCGGCCGCACGCUGGGCCGCGAUGACCGGGCCCUGAGCCGGACACGGCCAAGCCUCGUGUGUGGGUGUGACCCUGUGUCUCUGUUUGCACUUCCGCCAUUUUGGAUUCAACUUGGCCAAGAACAAAGCACGCUGAGCACCCGGCCUAAGUGCUGGCACAAUGCGCAGAGAAUGAAGCUGAAAGGACAUCUGAUGGCUCUAGUAUUUCUUUCUGUCUGUUAAACGGUGCUCAGUCUAUGGGAGCAACCAAGAUUUUAAUUACAAAUUGCAUAAAAUCACCUAACCUUGCACGUGUGUUUAAGCAGCAGUAUUGCAAUAUUUACAGGACAAAGCAACACACAAACCAGUAAGGCUGGGGCGUGGUCCAAGUACACGCUCUGGUGGAUUUGAACUACUGUAGGGCGUGCAGAAUCAGACAAUGAUAGUUUUAAAAACAGAAGAUAAGAGUAGGGGUGUGACUAGCCUGAGUUUCAGAGCUCCUAUUUGUGCAGGGGAGAUGCUGUC
rnacentral:lncRNA from 1 species